rnacentral:rRNA from 1 species
AUUGAACGCUGGCGGCAGGCCUAACACAUGCAAGUCGAGCGGUAGAGAGAAGCUUGCUUCUCUUGAGAGCGGCGGACGGGUGAGUAAUGCCUAGGAAUCUGCCUAGUGGUGGGGGAUAACGUUCGGAAACGGACGCUAAUACCGCAUACGUCCUACGGGAGAAAGCGGGGGAGCCUCGGACCUCGCGCCAUUAGAUGAGCCUAGGUCGGAUUAGCUAGUUGGUGAGGUAAUGGCUCACCAAGGCGACGAUCCGUAACUGGUCUGAGAGGAUGAUCAGUCACACUGGAACUGAGACACGGUCCAGACUCCUACGGGAGGCAGCGGUGGGGAAUAUUGGACAAUGGGCGAAAGCCUGAUCCAGCCAUGCCGCGUGUGUGAAGAAGGUCUUCGGAUUGUAAAGCACUUUAAGUUGGGAGGAAGUGCAGUAACCUAAUACGUUAUUGUUUUGACGUUACCGACAGAAUAAGCACCGGCUAACUUCGUGCCAGCCGCCGCAGUAAGAC